rnacentral:antisense_RNA from 1 species
CUUCAGCGAUCCGAGCCGCACGGGCUGGUCGCGGUGUUGUCCGUAGGUGGCGAUCAGGGCCUGGGCUUC